GAUGAAGAACGUAGUGAAAUGCGAUAAGUAAUGUGAAUUGCAGAAUUCAGUGAAUCAUCGAAUCUUUGAACGCACAUUGCGCCCGCCAGUAUUCUGGCGGGCAUGCCUGUUCGAGCGUCAUUUCAACCAUCAAGCCCCCGGCUUGUGUUGGGGACCUGCGGCUGCCGCAGGCCCUGAAAAGCAGUGGCGGGCUCGCUGUCACACCGAGCGUAGUAGAUUUCAUCUCGCUCAGGGCGUGCUGCGGGUUCCGGCCGUUAAACCACCUUCAUAACCCAAGGUUGACCUCGGAUCAGGUAGGAAGACCCGCUGAACUUAAGCAUAUCAAUAAGGGAGGA
rnacentral:misc_RNA from 1 species